rnacentral:rRNA from 1 species
UACGUAGGGUGCGAGCGUUAAUCGGAAUUACUGGGCGUAAAGCGUGCGCAGGCGGCGCGUUAAGACAGGUGUGAAAGCCCCGAGCUUAACUUGGGAAUUGAGCUUGUGACUGGCGUGCUGGAGUGUGGCAGAGGGAGGUGGAAUUCCACGUGUAGCAGUGAAAUGCGUAGAGAUGUGGAGGAACACCGAUGGCGAAGGCAGCCUCCUGGGCCAGCACUGACGCUCAUGCACGAAAGCGUGGGGAGCAAACAGG